rnacentral:rRNA from 1 species
UACGUAGGGUGCGAGCGUUGCCCUGAUUUAUUGGGCGUAAAGGGCGCGUAGGCGGCGCGAUAAGUUGGGCGUGAAAGGCCCGGGCUCAACCCGGGGACUGCGCUUGAUACUGUCGCGCUGUGAGUCCGGGAGAGGAUGGCGGAAUUCCCAGUGUAGAGGUGAAAUGCGUAGAUAUCUGGAGGAAUACCGGUGGCGAAGGCGGCAUCCUGGACCGACAUUGACGCUGAACGGCGAAAGCUAGGGGAGCAAACGGG